rnacentral:sRNA from 1 species
CUGACCAAUCUGAAGCCUACAUUCCUUUUUUACCAUCUAACAGGUAAACCAUGAGCAGCACGAUUCUUCACACUGCCCCAUCAAUCUGCUUCAUCCCUCACCUGGAGGGACCACUUCCAGGGGGUGAGAGGAGAGGUCAGGCUUUGAGGUGCAUUUGAUCCUUGGCUUCU